rnacentral:lncRNA from 1 species
AUUUUUUUUUUUGGAUGUUAAAAGUUAUUUACAAGCCUAUAGACAUGAAUUUCUAGGUGUUUCAAAAAUAAAACAUAUAUACAUGAUUUUGAAUGAUAUGAACAAAUUAAUCCUUAGGCAUGGUUUCUACAUGACAAGACAAUGCUAAAAGUUAUAACAUUGUUAAAAUACCUAAUCAGCCUACUAAAUUAUUAUGAUUUGAUUUUAACAUUAAAAAUUAAUGGAAUCUAGUUUAUAUUUUUUAGACUUAUUAACAGAGCAUCAAACAAUUGAUUGGAUUAUAACACCUACAAACAAUAAUUCUAGGUGGUUAAAAAGAAACCUAUAGGCAUGAUUUCUAAAAGUUUAUAAUGAACAAGUAAGCAUAUAAAUCCCCCUCCCCUAGACGACCCCCCAAAUAAAUUUUAUAUAUAUCAUCUUUAGAGUUACAAUUGUUACAAUAUUCGAAUAAAUAAAAUAGGAAAAUAUAUAUAUAUAUAUAUAUAUAUAUAUGUAUACAUUCAAAUAAACAAAUAAAUCUUUAUUCAAUUAAUCUUCAAGUUUGAAACCUGUCAAAGUAAUCAAAUAACAACACAAGUAAUCCCACUUAUUAGUCAAGGUGAGACAAUAUGCAAUUGUUUAAUGACGAAUUCUAUGUAUAGAAAAAAAAAACAAUAGUUUACACAAAUGUGUGAAUGUAAAGAUAGUGUGAAUGUUAAGAAUACUAACCAGUUAAGCAAAACAAAUUGAUUCAACUUUUACUCGAACAAAGUAGUAAAAUAGCGAAGAAAACACUUGAAUAAUUACCGAAUUCUUAAUGUAUUAUUAGAGUAGCAAGAGAGCAAUGAGAGAAGGGAAAGUGAUGAAAGAAUUUGUGAUUGAGAAUUAUUAAGUGUGUGAGUUUGUGGUAGAGUUAGUGAAUGAGUAGAGAAGAGUCGUGAUUAUAUACUAGGUGAGAGGGCAACAUUAAAGGAAAAGAAUCAAUUUGUGGCAAUUAUAGAGAAAUAUUUCCUUACUAAGAGAAUCAAAUCAAUCAAACAUUACAAAAUAUAAACCAAAUAAAAACAGUCCACAAAUAAUAUAUUUCGCAAAAUAAUCAAUAAAGUAAGGCAGACGAGCCUAAGUAUCCUAUUGUAAGCCAGAAGAGCCUAAAUAUCGUAUUGUAAGGCAGACGAGCCUAAAUGUUGUAUUGUAAGGCAGACGAGCCUAAAUAUCCUAUUGUAAGGCGGAAGAGCCUGAAUGUCGUAUUGUAAGGCAGCCGAGCCUAAACAUCAUAUUUCGAGGCAGAAAAGCCUAAACAUCCUAUUGUAAGGCGGAAGAGCCUAAAUGUCGUAUUGUAAGGCAGACGAGCCUAAACAUCGUAAUGUAAGGCAGAUGAGCCUAAACAUCAUAUUGUAAGGCAUAUCAGCCUAAAUAUCCUAUUGUAAGGCAGAAGAGCCUAAAUGUCGUAUUGUAAGGCAGACGAGCCUAAAUACCUUAUUGUAAGGCGGAAGAGCCUAAAUGUCAUAUUAUAAAGGCGGGAGAGCUUAAAUAUAUAUUCAGUCAAUCGUAGAAAAAAAGUCUAUAAUAGCCUCUUCAAAAAAAAAUUAUCUGAGGAUAGUAUGACUUACAUAGUAGCUCCUAAAUAUGACAGUACGCUCAUAUAUAAUUUAUUCCUGCAUCCAGAGAAAAAUUGUAAAUUCAAAAGGCGAGAGAGGGUCAUACCUGUGCUUGUUUUGCCUUUACAAUUGCAUUCCGUUGUGAUGAAAUUUUUGAGGAUUUCUCAAAAAUUUCUGCCCCAGUUUAGAGUAUAAGAUAUAUACUCGCUUUUUUUUUCAAACAUAUUUAUGAAAAUUUUUGAGGUUUCCUCAAAAAUUCUGUCCCAGUUUAUUAGUGGGGGAAUUUUUAAUCCUGCUUCACUCAAAGAAAAAAUUGUAAGUUCCAAAGAAAGUGAUUGUCUUGUAUUUUGAUAUUAAGGCUUGACUUCGAAUUCAAGUGUCAAUGAUGUUCAUGGAUUGCCAAUUAGUCUAGAUUUGAAUUUGUAAAGAAGUGUUUUGAAUGACCAUGGGAAAGAAAAAAAAUUUAUUUGAUAGAGACCGGACCUAUCAAGGGUUGCCUACGUAUCCAAAAAGGAAAUCAGGUCAAACAUAGUUCAUAAUUACAAGAAAAAUGAAAGGAAUGAGGAAGGCUUUGGGCAUAAGGUCUGAGAACACUAAAGCCAACUUUGAUCAUAAGAGUCUUGUUGAUAUCAAUUUAUCUGAUGUGAUUUAUGCUUCCUUGUCAAGUGCCUAAUGUACAUCUUCGUAAGGUCUCCUUGAACAAUGAAUUUAUUCGUCAUAGAAGGAUUGCAAUUGUUGUUUUGUCGUCCUUGUUGCACUAUAAUUUUUCCUUUUUCAAUCAUAUUCUGAAUCUUAUUUCUCAAUGCUGCACAUUCUUCGGUGUCAUGACCUUGAAUGUUUGAAUGAUAGGCACAAUUUUUGGAUAGAUCAAAGUUUGACGUAGAGUGCUUGGGAAUCCAUCCAUUUAUUGGUCUUAGAAGUCCUUUAGCGCAUAAUCUCUUGAAAAUGUCAGUCAAAGUUUCCCUUAAGGGAGUGAAGACACGAGGUUUCCUCACCUUAUGUUGAGAUACCCGAGAGUUGGAAGGCUCAAGAAUAGCAUGAAUUUGCUCAAUAUUCUGAUUUCCUUGUUCCGGAGGUAUAUAUGUUGAUGCAUCUUUGUUCCUUUCAUCUAAUGAGUCUUUCAGGACUUGAAAAGGAAUUUGUGUAUCAACAAUUCUUCCAGACUGAAUGCCAUAUUCUAACUCUUUUCCAAUUCGAAUUAGACUGUCGAAACUUUGAAUACCAGCAAAGAACAGGGUUUUGUAGUAUAUACCCUCAAGUGAUCUGAUGAGAGUUUGGACCAACUCCUCUUCAUGCGGUAAGUGACGUAUCUUGUAGGCUUCCAUUCUCCAUCGUAUGACAUAUUCCUCAAAAGAUUCAUGACUUAAUUUCUUCAAUUUGAUCAAAUUUAACACUGUAGGGUCAACCUUUGUAUUAAACUUGUAUUGUUCAACAAAGUCUCGAGUCAUGUCUUCCCAUGCGAGCCAUUUGUCAAAGUCUUGUUUGACAUACCAAGUGAAGGCUAUUCCUGAUAAGCUUUAAAUAAAUAACCUCAUUAAGAGAGGUUCAUUGUUUUUUAAGCCAACUAGUCUGCUGCAAAAAUCUUUGAGAUGUGCUAUUGGAUCCCCACAUCCGUCGAACAUGUUUAAUUUUGGAAUUUUAAAUCCUGACGGCAAUUCAACUCCUGGGUGUAGACAUAAAUUUUUAUAUCUUUGGACAUGAGUAGGUAUUGAAUGUAAUCCUCCAUUCACCUUUUCCUCCAAGUCAUGCAUUUUUCGCUGCAGUGCAUCUAGUUUAGACUUCUCUAUUUUGUCAUCUAUUCCCUCAUAUCCGGAAGCAUCAAAGUUGAGGCGUAUUGGAGACCUUUGUUGAGAGAGGGUGUGAGUAGGAAUACGAUGAGGAGAGAUGGUCCAAAAGGUACUUUGUGUUGGACGAGAAGAUGGGUGUUUUUUCGAAGGUUGAACAUAUUUGUCAUGUUGCAGAAUCUUAGUCGAGCCAAUUAUCCAAAUACUAGACAACCAUUAGUCAAUCAAAAACAAAACCGAGUUAUUAUAUAGUGAUCCAAAAUUAUAAUUUCAAAUGAAUGACACAAUAAGCUCAAAGUGGGACAAUUAUAACAGUUAAUAGAAUAAGGUCACAUAAUUGAUUCAAGUUAUACUUUGCCAAUUUGAAGUUUUAGAGUCAAAGAAAGAUUUUAUCUCCAUUUUGACAUAAUGACUUGAUUUAAAAUAUGAUGAUCAAAUUGACACAAAUAUGCAAUUUGUCUAAAGGGUGUUGGGGCUCUUUAGACAAUAGAGUGGCUACUAAUUAUAUGGAUUAACGCCAAGGGUAAAACUACCGAGGGCUUAUGCAACAUGUAUGACCUAACAAGGACUUCUAAGAGUUGUCUUGACGCGGACUUGAAAGGGAUUCUAUGCGAGAGGCUCGUGGUUUCGCGGUUGUAAAACUAUCCGUUACGUCCACGCAUAUGCCGACUCUCUAUAAUGGAUAUUUGAAUAGAAUUGGAGUAGUUGUGAGAGGUGCAAAGGCGCAACAUCACGAGAACAAAAUAAAGAAAAGGAAGAGGGUCCCAAUUGAGGGAAAUAUGAGCGGAAUGUCAGUUAUCAAAGCAAUAAACACUUAGCAUUUAAAUUGAAAAAUGGUAACAUAUAGGCAUUUUAUAAAACAGUAAAUAAAUAAGCACAAAUAAAUAAAAGAAAUUUAAAAAUCACGCAAACAAGGAAAGAGGAUAUAGGAUUAAAUGUAGUAAACAAAUAAGGGAAACGGGAGAAUAUGAAACAUGGUAAUAAACAAAUAAGAAGGGGAAAAAUGGGUGGAACAUGAAAAGAAUACAAUUAAUAAGGCAAUAAAAUGAUAACUAAAUAUGAUAAACACCUAGCAAAUAAUGAAAUAAACAAUAUAAAGUAAACCCCACAUAAAUAAGCAUGAAACACGUAAUGGUAAGAACCUAAUAUCCCCAGCAGAGUCGCCAUUCUGUCGCGACCCAUUUUUCCAAAAAACGGGUUUUGUGCACGACCUAACAACUCUUUUGGGAUUUUUGAGUUUGGAGUCGCCACCUAACGAAUUAAGGCGCGUUAGGGCACCUAUCUAACCUAAGUCUAACUAGGGUCAACGAGCCAGAAAUUAGGGUAAGGGUUCAAAUUACCUCGAGGGGAAGGUGUUAGGCAUCCCUCGAGGUCCACAAGUUUGGGUCCCGGCCGUAUCUCAUGCAAUCUAUGUGAGGGUUACAAUUAGCAAUCAAAGUCACUUCAUUUAUUAAUUUAUUUAAUCUUGCUAGUGUUAACAAAUACAAAACAAUUAAUACUAUUAAUUUGAGCAUGCAAGACUAGGUGAUAGCAAUAAAUAAAUAAUCAAGUUUUGUUUUUAUUUAAGCAUGUGAAACUAUGUUAUAAACAAAAUUUAUAAAUAUCAAACAAUUAAUAUGUGCGAAAGUAAAGUUUGAAAAUUGAGCAAGUUUUUAAUAUGAAUUUUUUUAUUUUUUUAAAAAAUGUUUGUUUCUUUAUAGGGAUGAUGUCACGAUAUUGUUGAUCGCGCUCCUCCACCAUAGAAACAAAUUUGAUUUGAGGUCGGUCUUAAAAUAGCUUAUGUUUUUUUAAAAUGAUUUAAAAGAUUUAGAUUACAUGUAGGCACAUAAAUAUUUACACAUAAAUGCACAUAAUUCUUUUUUAAAUUCAUGGGUAGGUGGUACUUCAGAGGAUGCAUCGAUUUAAAAAUUGGAACUAAACCUCAUAGUUCCUUUGACUUCCCCACUAACGAUAGGUUAGGAGAAAGUACUUGUAAUUUAUUUCAAAAAUAAUGUCAUAAUCAAUCCAAAAUUUCAAAGGAAAAUUGAAUAAUGACUUUUAAUAAAUUAUGUUACAAAACAUUGCAAGUACUAAAACUAGUAGAACAUUAAGCAGGUAAAUUUAUUAAAUGCAAAGGUUUUACGAUGAAAUAUACUUAAAGCCAAAUAAUUUGUUAAAUGCAUGAAAUGAUUUUAGUAUCAUUAUUAUUUCAAGAAAAUAACAUAUUGCAAGGAAUGCGGAAAUCUUCAAGAAGACAAAUGGAAUUACUCAUGAAAGGAUAACUAAUCAAAUAAUAUUAACUUUUUAGGGGGAGGGCACAAAUAUGCACAAAAGAAUUACUUUUUUUUGGAUGUUAAAAGUUAUUUACAAGCCUAUAGACAUGAAUUUCUAAGUGUUUCAAAAAUAAAACAUAUAUACAUGAUUUUGAAUGAUAUGAACAAAUUAAUCCUUAGGCAUGGUUUCUACCUGACAAGACAAUGUUAAAAGUUAUAACAUUGUUAAAACACCUAAUCAGCCUACUAAAUUAUUAUGAUUUGAUUUUAACAUUAAAAAUUAAAGGAAUCUAGUUUAUAUUUUUUAGACUUAUUAACAGAGCAUCAAACAAUUUAUUGGAUUAUAAGACCUACAAAAAAUAAUUCUAGGUGAUUAAAGACAAAACUAUAGGCAUGAUUUCUAAAAAUUUAUAAUAAACAAGUAAGCAUAUAAAUCCCCCUCCCCUAGACGACCCCCCAAAUAAAUUUUAUAUUUAAGAUCUUUAGAGUUACAAUUGUUACAACAUUCGAAUAAAUAAAAUAGGAAAAAAAAAUACAUAUAUAUAUAUAUAUAUAUGUAUACAUUCAAAUAAACAAAUAAACCUUUCUUCAAUUAAUCUUCAACUUGAACUUCAAGUUUGAAACCUGUCAAAGUAAUCAAAUAACUACACAAGUAAUCAUACUUAUUAGUCAAGGUGAGACAAUAUGCAAUUGUUUAAUGACGAACUCUACGUAUAGAAAAAAACAAUAGCUUACACAAAUGUGUGAAUGUAAAGAUAGUGUGAAUGUUAAGAAUACUAACCAGUUAAGCAAAACAAAUUGAUUCAACUUUUACUCGAAUAAAGUAGUAAAAUAGCGAAGAAAACACUUGAAUAAUUACCGAAUUCUUAAUGUAUUGUUAGAGUAGCAAGAGAGCAAUGAGAGAAGGGAGAGUGAUGAGAGAAUUUGUGAUUGAGAGUGAAUAAGUGUGUGAGUUUGUGGUAGAGUGAGUGAAUGAGUAGAGAAGAGUCUUGAUUAUAUAAUAGGUGAGAGGGCAUUAUUAAAGGAAAAGAAUCAAUUUGUGGCAAUUAUGGAGAAAUAUUUCCUUACUAAGAGAAUCAAAUCAAUCAAACAUUACAAAAUAUACACCAAAUAAAAACAGUCCACAAAUAAUAUUUUUUGGCAAAAUAAUCAAUAAAGUACGACACAAUGAAAUAACUAGGAGGAAAUGAUUAUUUUCCCAUAUUAAGUACAAAUAUUAUUAUAUCAAUAUUAUUUACCAUAAGCAAAAUUCUAUCAAAAUCUUAAAAAAAAGGCAGUAACAAUUAAUCGACCAUAACAUUAAAAUUCAAUUUGAUCAGCAUAUAUAUUACCUAAAUAUGGAUCAGUUCCUUGAUUCAAAUUAGAUCACACUUACCAUAUAAACUCAAACAUAUUAGCUAUUAUAAAAUAACCUCACGUAUAUAGAGAAUAAUAAAAAAAAUAAACAAUAGUUGCAAAUAAAAUUCAAAUCAAUAUUUUCAUAAUUACCAAACAAUCAGCACUCAAGCCCAAUUCCUAGAAGUCAAACAAUUUAAUUUGAGUCUCAACACAAGUAAGAUUAUAUUAAUAAAUUAAAGGCAAAAUUAUAAUAUCCGACUUUAAUGAAUGAAAAGGAUUUGAAGCUAGAGCGGAUAAGUACAUAAGAAUCAAUCGAUUUAACUAAGAUAAUAGUCAAUUAAAAAAUUCAAUCAUCACUCCAUAUUAUCAACUUAAGUCAAUAACCGACAAUGAAAAAAAUGAUAUAUUAAUGUUAAUAGAUAGCAAAGCAAAAGUGGCAUUAAAAAAACUUGAUUAAUAUUUUAUCAAAAGUUGAACUUAAACGUUCGAGAAAUCAACUAUCAUAAAGAAAACAUGCGUAAAAAUAGGAAAAUAAAAAGUUCCAAGUUUUAACCCUACAAAUAAUUUUUAUUUACAAAAUAUGCAAGCCUACAAUAAUGAUAAUUUUAUAGUCAUUUAAUCAAUUCAUUUAAGAGUAGUAAUGAAAUAAAAGAGCAUACCUUGACGGAUCGGUUAAGAUCUGUCUUCAAUGAAUUUAAAAACCUCAGAGUUUUACAGGAGUAAGUCAAGUGGAGAAGAGAGGAAGCUCGUAGGAGACAAUGCUUUGCCUGAACUUGCUACCUCCAUGUAGAUGGUUCUUUUUCGAUUAGUUGUUGGUGUUGCCGACUGAAACUAUUGAUGGUCGUUCCAUGGAGGUUGGUUGCUGCUCGCCUGAGAUUGAGAUGCGGCGGCUUGUGGUAGCCUGGAAGCUUCGCUUGGUUACUUGUAUUAUUGUUGUUGGCUGCUUCUCGCGAUGCUGUCCAGCUGCUACAUGGCAGAUCGCUUGGGUGCUGCCAGCGAUGGAGAAAACAAGUUAGAGAAGAAAGCGGAGGAGAAGAGAGAAUAGAGUUGAAGAGAGAAGGGGAGGCGAUUUCUGAAAAGGGAGAAAGAAGAGGUGUCGCUAGAAAGAAUGGGGAGUGAGAGAGAGGCGGGAGAGAGACAGCUGAUGCUAGUGCUCUGUCCGGCAGCCUCCCUCGCUGGAAAAAUGAAGGAGAGGGAGAGAGGCGGCUGGAGAGGGAGGAAGAGGAAGAAGAAUUUUAGGGAUUAGGUUCUUUU